GAAGCUAAAGGAUUUAUUCACUUCCCGAGGGGCUCGCGGCCCAUCAGCUUGUUGGUGAGGGUAACGGCCCACCAAGGCGACAACGGGUAGCUGGUCUGAGAGGAUGGUCAGCCACACUGGAACUGAGACACGGUCCAGACACCUACGGGUGGCAGCAGUCGAGAAUCAUUCGCAAUGGGGGAAACCCUGACGAUGCGACGCCGCGUGGAGGAUGAAGGCCUUAGGGUUGUAAACUCCUGUCAAGAGGGAAUAAGCAAGUGAAGGUACCUCUAGAGGAAGGGGCGGCUAAUUCCGUGCCAGCAGCCGCGGUAACACGGAAGCCCCGAGCGUUGUUCGGAUUCAUUGGGCGUAAAGGGUGCGUAGGCGGCGCGGAAAGUCCGGCGUGAAAGGCAGGGGCUCAACCUCUGGACUGCGUUGGAUACUUCCGUGCUUGAGGACUGGAGGGGAGACUGGAAUUCACGGUGUAGCAGUGAAAUGCGUAGAUAUCGUGAGGAAGACCGGUGGCGAAGGCGAGUCUCUGGACAGAUCCUGACGCUGAGGCACGAAGGCUGGGGGAGCGAACAGGAUUAGAUACCCUGGUAGUCCCAGCAGUAAACGAUGUGAGCUUGAUGUGGGGGGAUUCGACCCCUUCCGUGUCGAAGCUAACGCGAUAAGCUCACCGCCUGAGGAGUACGGCCGCAAGGCUAAAACUCAAAGAAAUUGACGGGGACCCGCACAAGCGGUGGAGUAUGUGGCUUAAUUCGAUGCAACGCGAAGAACCUUACCUGGCCUUGACAUGCAUUGUGUCGUCGGUGAAAGCCGGCUAGUCCUGGAAACAGGACGCUUUGCACAGGUGCUGCAUGGCUGUCGUCAGCUCGCGUCGUGAGAUGUUGGGUUAAGUCCCGCAACGAGCGCAACCCUUGUGGUCAGUUACUAACCGGCUUAGCCGGAGGACUCUGGCCAGACUGCCCUGUCAAACGGGGAGGAAGGUGGGGACGACGUCAAGUCAGUAUGGCCCUUAUGGCCAGGGCUGCACACGUACUACAAUGCCCGGUACAAUGUGAACCGAAACCGCGAGGUGGAGGAAAUCGCUCUUGAAAACCGGGCCCAGUUCGGAUUGGAGUCUGCAACUCGACU
rnacentral:rRNA from 1 species